UACGAAGGGGGCUAGCGUUGCUCGGAAUCACUGGGCGUAAAGGGUGCGUAGGCGGGUCUUUUAAGUCAGGGGUGAAAUCCUGGAGCUCAACUCCAGAACUGCCUUUGAUACUGAGGAUCUUGAGUUCGGGAGAGGUGAGUGGAACUGCGAGUGUAGAGGUGAAAUUCGUAGAUAUCGCAAGAACACCAGUGGCGAAGGCGGCUCACUGGCCCGAUACUGAC
rnacentral:rRNA from 1 species